CCAUGGAUCUUGUGCUGCUGCAUUGUGGUCCAUUCACAGCACAAUCUUUCUUCACUAUCCUCCAACUGGAGGCAAUACAUCCUACAUCCAGGGAAAAGGCGAGGAGAAUGGAGUCCUGGCCUUUCCAUCCACAGAGAGAGCUGAUGUCAACAGUUUCUACUGAAAUACUACUGAAAUCCUUCAGAACUUAGAACACAUCAGAACUAAAACCAUUUUUAAAAAUAAGAGAAUGGUUCAUAUUUGACUCCUGAGAAAACCGCCCAGAAGAGAAGAACGGCACAGUUCUGGAGGGUGCCAUGGCCCAUUGAGAUGAUGACCUAGCGUGACCACAAGUGGAAGACAGAGCAAUCAGAGGAAGCUGUGCAACCACCACACACACGUGGAGGAACACAUCUGCCCUGUCUUCUACAGGUAGGGGUGCUCAGGGAUGUUGAAAGGAGGAGGUAAUUACCUCGAGACUAUGGGGAUCAACACGCGGUAUAAUCAGCCUGGAGAGCAAGGCAGCAGGAGACACAACUGCAGGGCAGUGGGGCUUUCUGCGGAGGCAAGUGGCUGCUGGGAUCACAAGGCUGUGCUAAGCAGCUGCAGCACCACCUGUAUGUGCAGGGAUAUACUGAGCCACCGAGAACCCCCAUGUGGAGAAACAGGACAUCCCUGACAUGAACCUGAGUCCCUAAUAAA